CAAAAAGGGCCACUCUCCGCUGCUGAGAGCCCUCUGGCAACAGAGCGGGAGAGGGGAGCAGGAGCUGGCUGAAAGGUGCUGUGCGAGCUGGGAAUGGCAGCCGUGGGCUGGACUCUGGUGCCCCGAAACGCUGUGAGCCGCUGUCUCCUUGCCCUCGAUAGCCCUAUGGCUAGUGGGUGGGGAUGAGAAAAUUCAGGGUCGGGGAUGCUGUUUAAAGCACAAUGCUGUUUCAUCCCUCCCUGACAAGAAGAGCGUGAUUGGGAAGACAACUUCUCCUGGCUUCCCAGCACUCAUGCCAGCCGCGUUGACCUUGCGAGCUGGGGACACCUUUGAGAGAUGCUAGCUGGUACCUGAUAACAUCCAGGUGAUGGACAUCUCUGACAGUCUGAAUGACCUCUCUGAUGGGCCCUCAUCCAUUACAAGGAGGAUACAACUUGGCCCUUAGGCCCCUGGACAGCAGGGCACCUUGUUGAAAGAUGCCGUCACCUUGGCACUUCUCUGAUCUCCUGAUUUUUCAGUGCCAGAUCACACAUGCAAUGAGGUGUGAGAGCCCCUUGUGAUCAAGUACAACUCAGUCUAGCAUCCAGUCGCAUCUUUUGCAUGGGCAGAAGGAGAUGUUCAGAAUGGGUUCCCAAGCAGUGGUUUUAGGCUAGCAUGUGAUCGUUUCCAAGGGGCUGGCGAAAGGCAUAGAGGAAACAGUUAAGGACUCUUUCCCUCUGAGCAUUGGGUGCCUUCAUGCGUGCUGUGCACUGGAGACCAUGCACCUCUGCAUGACCAUCACAUCCCCCCACUCCACCAGUGGAGAUCAUCUCCUCCUUCAGUCCCAUUCAGAAGCCAUCUGUUGCAGUGUUGCACCCAGACAUGACCCACAUGAAAACUGCGCGCGAAGAUCUGAGGUGGAGCAAGCAGGGAAGAUGUUAACAAGGCUCUUCAGCUGCGGAGACUUAAGAUGUUUCUGCUCCAGCUGUGGCCACAACCCUGGAGCACUUGGGCAAAGCCUACCCCUUUCCUUGGAUGCCCAGGCACACUCCGAUGCUGACAGCUGCAUUAAGGCACAAGCAAAGGUGGUUAGCACUGCCUAGCCCUGAGGAGAUGUGAAUUAUUCCGAAGUAGUUUCAUUAAAGACUUGCUGUAAGCAACUACUCCAGCCUUGGAGCAGCCAAAGCUCCAAGCCAAAGCUUUCCUUGUGGUAGGCUGCAGGAAGCACCUGCAGGGACAGCAUGUGGACCCUAGGAAGCAAGAAGGGAGCCAGGCACAGUGCACUGGGGCCAGGGCUCCUCUCUGCUUCCCCACGGGCAGGUAGGGAAUUGCAGAGGGGGA